rnacentral:misc_RNA from 1 species
GCUUUGAGAUCCAUAAGGAGUUUUGUGAAGUUGAUGGUUCGUGAAAUGGAGGUUGCUGAAUGGGAUAUUGAAGCAGCUGCAAAAGCAAUCGAAUCUGAAUCCAUUUUUCCAAAGCCAACCCAUCGUUGCUUUGUGUUUGAAUCAUUUGUGAGCAAAACAAUGUUCGAGGGUUUCAAUUAUCCAAAUUUUAUGCUCCCAAAUGAAUCUCCACCGCCCAUGGAUCACCAUCACCAUUACCGUCACAGUGGUGAACACUACUUCAAUAAGUUCAAGAAGCUAAAAUCAGUGAACCCAAGACACUACUUGAACCAAAAUCCAACUUCAUCCUUCGCAAGAUUCACCAGGGCCAAGUAUCUGAAGCUUGUACAUGCAAAAAUGGAGUGCUCUCUGUUUGGAAAUUUGAACCAGAGGAAGCUAGUGAACUCCGGUGGAUUCCCAGAUACCGCUUUCUUUACAGCUUUUAUAGAGAUGGCUAGGCGAGUAUGGUCUUUGAACCUUCUGGCCUUCUCAUUUGGUGAAGAUGUUAGCAUUUUUCAGGUGAGCAAGAAUUCCAGAUUCU